GAGUUUUCCUGCAGGAAAUUAAUUGAAUAGGACACCAGGUCCUGAAGACGAUGUUUUAUCACGAGGAUGUGAUCGAUAACGUGAAGGGACAUUAAAAACGAUCGACAGCAUGAAAUAAAAAUGACUUUCUACGUUAACAGAAAACCACUGGCUCUCAUCUUCGUUCGUCGCCAUUUUCGCCUCCGAAAUCAUCAGGAACAUCCGGAGGAAGAGCCUUUCAACGGUCAAGGACGACUUCCUGAACCUCCGAAGAAGAGUAAAUGUGAAGGGACAAAGAGAUUUCGGUGUCCGCACUGCGGUAAAUUGUUCAAACGACUCGACAGAACCUGGUCACACAUCGACAAUCAUCAUAAAUACCAUAUCCUAUUUUGCAUCGACACCGUAACGAACCAAAAGUUGUUCCCUUCGGGGAAUCCCCUGGAGAACCCGCCGGGGAAUCCCCUGGAAUAAUCGUCAGGACAGAUUCCACAUGAUGACGAUCACAUGACGAGAAUAAGAUCGACUUUCUCGAGCUGACGACGCGAAUUUAGGAUAAUUUCUUCAUCGCAGGGAACCGAUCGUUCGUGAUCACCAUUUUGGGACUUCCCAGGGGGGAACCCCGUGGAUUGGGACUUAUUUUCUGUUAAUCCUGACCCAUCGUAUCCUCAUUAUCGAGGAAAAAGUGGAAAAUGUCAUUAACGUCAGCCGCAUUUAAUUAUUCACUUGACAUUUGAGUGCGGAAUGGCGAAGGAACUUCCAGAUCUCAUUGUACCAGAGCUUUGGAAUGUUAAAUUUCUAGUGACUAAAUCCAAUUAAUUAAACUAAUUAUCGACGAAGAGUCUUACUGUGACAUUUAAUUUUCAUUUAAUAAAUUCAACAAAUGUGAAGGAUUAAGAA